AAAAGAUUUGAAAGAGAAGCAGUCAUAUCUAGUAUAGUAACAUUGUUGGAUGAUGUUGGUCCAACAAUGUUGGAUCCGUUUAAACAGGCCUUUAAUUGUACAUUUAUACUGGCUGGCAUAAAUUAUUGGAGGGAGUUUCCCCCUCCCCCUAGUGUCUUCCACCAAUGCUGGCUAGUUUAUAGGUUCUCUAUCACUUUUAUCAGUAUAAUGCAUCUGCACUGGGUCUGUUGUAUGAACAUUUCAGUAUGUCGUAAAAUCAGGUUCUGUACAAUUCACAUUGGUUUACAGUUAUUGCCGCCCAUUACAAACUUAAUGCUACAGUAUUGCCAGGCCAAGUAAGAAAUUGUUGGUACAGUAUUUCAUCAUAAUUACAGUACUGUGCAUAGAUCUAUAUUUGGCAAAUUCCAAAAUAGUAUGAUGCACAUAAUACGAUUGCACGCCUUGAUUAGAUGCAAUGCAAAGUGGAC